CUCUGUUCACGAGACACUCGUGGGAUAUUCCUAGCCUUCUGCCCCCUUAGUUACGGGCAUUGCCGUCUCACUGCUGUAUAACCAGAGGCGUGGGAGCUGCAGCUGUCAGAAUCCUAAUCCCUUCUGCCUGGACUCGUUACCAGUGGUAGCGAGUGUGUAUAGUAGUAAACUGUGCUGCGAUGCUAGCCUUUCAGUCACUACCAGAGGUCCCAGCAGCAAAAACAAAAAUUGUGGAUGAUACAUUUUAACCUUCUAGAAACUCAGCUAACUCCUUUAGGUAUUUUUCAAGAAAUAAUGAAGAAAACAUCAAUAUAUCACCUACCAUCAUUUCAUUACUUGAUGGAUUCAGAAGCUCAAGAAG
rnacentral:lncRNA from 1 species